AAGACUGUGCUUCACAGGAUCAUUUCUGUAGGCAAGUUUUCACCCCAAGUUUUUUCCGCAAGGAAAAGAUUUCCCACCCACGAUGAUGAGACGUGGUGACCAUUCUGGAGCGUGAAACUUGGUUCGGUUUGGUUCUAUCGUCUACCCGGUAGAACCCCGGACUGCUGAAGAUCGUGCUCGCUUUUGCAAUGGAUUGGUCGCUAUCUGAGUGGU